rnacentral:rRNA from 1 species
CGGACGGGUGAGUAACGCGUGGGUAACCUGCCUUACACAGGGGGAUAACACUUAGAAAUAGGUGCUAAUACCGCAUAAGCGCACAGCUUCGCAUGAAGCAGUGUGAAAAACUCCGGUGGUAUACGAUGGAUCCGCGUCUGAUUAGCUGGUUGGCGGGGUAACAGCCCACCAAGGCGACGAUCAGUAGCCGGCCUGAGAGGGUGAACGGCCACAUUGGGACUGAGACACGGCCCAAACUCCUACGGAAGGCAGCAG